AAAAUGAUAAAAAUCUGCCUUACAAGCAGAGGGUCGGGGGUUCAAAUCCCUCAACGCCCA
rnacentral:tRNA from 1 species